rnacentral:lncRNA from 1 species
ACAGGGUUUCGUCACCAAAGUCAUAUAGAUUGGUGCAAAUCACCGAUUUUUCAGUGGACUAGUGAACAAUGCAGAACACACGUAGAUUCCUGUCUCAUCAACCUGAAGGGAUAUCUUCUUCAACAAGUAAGGGAUAUCAUUUUCUAGGGUAAAUAUGCUUCCCUAAUGGAAAACAUGGACCUCUUUAGAAUCAGAAAUCUCAUCUGUACCUGAACCUGAUUUCAACUCCCAAAUCCUGAAUUUGAAUUGACAAUCUAAAAUAACAAGGUUUUGAGAUCCUGGGAGGAAGCAGCCAGCUGUCAUGUCAUAAAAACUUUUAAGUGAUCCUAUGAAGAGACCCAAGGGGUGAGGAACUGAGACCUCAUGAUAACAUCCAGCAUGAAUUUAGCUGUGGGAGCCAGUCACAUUGGAAGUGGAUCUUGCAGCCCCAGGCAAGACUGGAGAUGACUGCAGCUUUUGUGAACAUCUUCACUGCAAUAUCAUUACAUACCCCGAGCCUGAGCCAGACAGUUGAGCCUUUCCCAGAUUCCUGACCCUCAGAAACUCUUAUUUUAAUAAAUUCUUAUUUUUCUACAUUGCUAAGUUGUAGGGUGAUUUGUAUAAAGCAGUAGGUAAUUGGCACAAUUAGACACUCAGUAGGCAUUUGGUCACAUAAAGUAUGCCUCAGAUAGUUUGCAAAUGCCUCUGGAGGUUUGCCAUUGUUCCUCCAACAUGGUAGGUUUUCUAUCAGGAUUUGCUGAUUGAUUGUGUUCUUCCUAAAAAAAAAUCUAGGGAAUUUUCAUGGGAAACUGAAUGGAUAGCUGUCAUUCUUUUCCUAUCCAUUUUCUCAGUUUUUCCCGAGGACGGAGUAGUUCAAGUUGAACUCUCAGCUCCACAUAUGGAUAUGCGGCACAGGUCUGG